UACGUAGGGGGCAAGCGUUGUCCGGAAUUAUUGGGCGUAAAGCGCGUGUAGGCGGCUCGGUAAGUCUGCUGUGAAAGUCCAAGGCUCAACCUUGGAAUGCCGGUGGAUACUGUCGAGCUCGAGUCCGGAAGAGGCGAGUGGAAUCCUGGUGUAGCGGUGAAAUGCGCAGAUAUCAGGAGGAACACCGGUGGCGAAGGCGGGUCUCUGGGCCGAUACUGACGCUGAGGAGCGAAAGCGUGGGGAGCGAACAGG
rnacentral:rRNA from 1 species